rnacentral:rRNA from 1 species
GGACGAACGCUGGCGGCGUGCUUAACACAUGCAAGUCGAACGGAAAGGCCCUGCUUUUGUGGGGUGCUCGAGUGGCGAACGGGUGAGUAACACGUGAGUAACCUGCCCUUGACUUUGGGAUAACUUCAGGAAACUGGGGCUAAUACCGGAUAGGAGCUCCUGCUGCAUGGUGGGGGUUGGAAAGUUUCGGCGGUUGGGGAUGGACUCGCGGCUUAUCAGCUUGUUGGUGGGGUAGUGGCUUACCAAGGCUUUGACGGGUAGCCGGCCUGAGAGGGUGACCGGCCACAUUGGGACUGAGAUACGGCCCAGACUCCUACGGGAGGCAGCAGUGGGGAAUAUUGCACAAUGGGCGGAAGCCUGAUGCAGCAACGCCGCGUGCGGGAUGACGGCCUUCGGGUUGUAAACCGCUUUCGCCUGUGACGAAGCGUGAGUGACGGUAAUAGGUAAAGAAGCACCGGCUAACUACGUG